UACAGGGGGGGCGAGCGUUGUUCGGAAUUACUGGGCGUAAAGGGUUUGUAGGUGGCUUGCUCAGUCAGACGUGAAAUCCCUCAGCUUAACUGGGGAACUGCGUCUGAUACUAGCGAGCUUGAGUGCAGGAGAGGAACGCGGAAUUCCAGGUGUAGCGGUGAAAUGCGUAGAUAUGUGGAGGAAUACCGAUGGCGAAGGCAGCCCCCUGGGAUAACACUGACGCUCAUGCACGAAAGCGUGGGGAGCAAACAGG
rnacentral:rRNA from 1 species